ACUCCCUUGACACGCUACACAGCCAGAGGAAGAGAGAGAGGAGCUGAUGAGGAGCAGCAGCAGUCUGCAGGACUGGGGUCUGUGUCUGAGGAGCAGAAGAGGAGGACGACCCAGAGAGGGAGGUGGAGGAGGAGGUGACUCACCUUAGGGAGAAACUCCACAGCAAGACCAGUGCGAUGUCAGCGAUGAGUGUGGAAAUCAGCAAUCUGAAAGAGAGAAAUGAAAACCUCCAGAAAGGUGAAAGAUGUGAAUGAAUCAGUCCCAUUAGAAAUAUAUUCAGGCUUCUGAUCUGUGUGUGGAAGUCUUAGAUCUCAGUGGGUAGUGGCAGUGUACAGUACCAGUCAAAAAGUUGGACACACCUACUCAUUCAAGGGUUUUUCUUGAUUU